rnacentral:miRNA from 1 species
ACGAUGGACAGCAGCCCAACACU